GUUUGACAACUCCCAAACCCAAUAGUGAGACGUUACCAAACUGUUGCCUCGGCGGGAUCUCUGCCCCGGGUGCGUCGCAGCCCCGGACCAAGGCGCCCGCCGGAGGACCAACCAAAACUCUUUUUUGUAUACCCCCUCGCGGGUUUUUUUUACUAUCUGAGCCUUUCUCGGCGCCCCUUCGUGGGCGUUUCGAAAAUGAAUCAAAACUUUCAACAACGGAUCUCUUGGUUCUGGCAUCGAUGAAGAACGCAGCGAAAUGCGAUAAGUAAUGUGAAUUGCAGAAUUCAGUGAAUCAUCGAAUCUUUGAACGCACAUUGCGCCCGCCAGUAUUCUGGCGGGCAUGCCUGUCCGAGCGUCAUUUCAACCCUCGAACCCCUCCGGGGGGUCGGCGUUGGGGAUCGGCUCCCUCUAAACCGGGUGCCGUCUCCGAAAUACAGUGGCGGUCUCGCCGCAGCCUCUCUUGCGCAGUAGUUUGCACACUCGCAUCGGGAGCGCGGCGCGUCCACGUCCGUAAAACAACCCAAACUUCUGAAAUGUUGACCUCGGAUCAGGUAGGAAUACCCGCUGAACUUAAGCAUAUCAAUAAGCGGAGGGAAAAAAACC
rnacentral:rRNA from 1 species